rnacentral:tRNA from 3 species
GGAGGGAUGGCCGAGUGGUUUAAGGCGCACGCUUGGAAAGCGUGUUUACUUCACUGUAACGAGGGUUCGAAUCCCUCUCCCUCUU